GUUGUGCAAGAGCCAGAGGAAUUUGUGAUAAUGGAGCCACAUGCCCAGGCUCAACCCAGGCCCAAGGAACUUGACCUGAAGCAGGAGGGUUGCCAACAACAGUCCUGGUGAGCCGCUGAGAAGACGGGAGCUGAUUUUAUAGACUCUGGGAUGGACAUGCGAGGCUUUGCUUAACCAUCUCUGCCAUUCUGGAAACGUCUAUGAGAGUCGUCCAACAGUGUCCAUGUCUCACGUGUUUUGCUGAGUCAGCAACUGGGCAGAAUGAUGAUCUUGUCUUUCAUCAGUAAGAAUUAUUAAAUGAUCUAGGCAAGAAAAAGAUAUGUUAUUUAUAAACAUAGCAUCUAAUGAUAGCGGUGUGGUAUUUACCCGUGCGCAGACAUUUUUGUUUUGUUUUUGUUUAAUAUGCCUGUAGAUAUGGGAGACAUUCACACAUAACACAUCCAUAUACACUGCCUUUUCAACCACUUUUUCCUUUAUAAACACAAUUUUAAUUGGAAGUUACA
rnacentral:lncRNA from 1 species